rnacentral:rRNA from 1 species
UACGAGGGGUGCAAGCGUUGCUCGGAAUUAUUGGGCGUAAAGGGUAGGUAGGUGGUCUCAUUUGUCUGGGGUGAAAGCCUUGAGCUCAACUCAAGAAGUGCCCUAGAAACGGUGAGACUAGAGUCCUGGAGAGGGUCGUGGAAUUCCCGGUGUAGCGGUGAAAUGCGUAGAGAUCGGGAGGAACACCAGAGGCGAAGGCGGCGACCUGGACAGGUACUGACACUAAACUACGAAAGCGUGGGGAGCAAACAGG